UACUCGAUAAUCAGCCAUCUCCCACUAGUCUUAAAAGAUACAAUGCUGGGAAUACGGCCUUAAACUCUGACUCACUGAUGAGUUUAUCUGUUGUAAUAAAAACCUGUUAUUUAUAUAUUUAUUUUUCUUAUUUUCACUGGAGGUUAUUUUACUUUACGGAAAAACCAUUGUUACUUUUUUGUAUUUAACACACUGUAAUAAAACUGUCCAUAAUGCAUUUCGAUGCUCUUCACUUGUGUCUUUUUGUUAACGUUUUUUUCCCCCUUGUGUUGCCUCCUCUGUCCUUGUCUGUCUGUCUGCCUGGUCUUGGUUGUUACGUGUGGUUGGAGUGGCAGCUGACGUCUUCCCAGUCAGCUACAAAGGGCCUCUCUGUCCGUGUAAGGUCCAAGGGCAGCUGAGGUCAUCCUGUCAAAGUGUCAGACAAACACACAGUGCAGCCGGGGUGAGGUGAAGGCAGAUGAAAUUCAGAGCAUGUGAGUCGAAUCCGUGACUACACAAGGAGCAGACCCUGCCUCGUUAGACAUGAACUGCCCCUCUCAUGCCCUGUUAGACUGUCCUCUCACAUACGUGUGCGCUCCAAAAAAGGAGAUGUUUUUUUUUUUUUUUUUUUUUUUAUUGAGCUGUUCAUUCAACAGGACCUCUGAAUGCUGAGUUUAUAAAGAGAGAAUGGCACUUGACGAACCACGUAUUUAUUUUUGAUAAUAUGACUGCAUGUAAGCAAGUGAGUAAUGCUAUGACCACAUUGGUUAGAAAUUAGCUAGUUUCUAAUGGCCGCCCAGACAGUCUUCUUAAAUAGACAUGUCCGCUCAGAAAGGAGACUCUUUUUUUAUAUAUAUAUAUAUAUAUAGUUCAUUCAACAUGACCACAGAAUGCAGAGGUCACUUGGUAAACUAGGUAUCUGUUUUAAUAGUGUGACUAGAUGUACAGUAGGUGAGUGAAUAAUGCUGUGGCUGUGUUUUGUGAAGCUAUGCAUCACUUUCUUCUGGUUAGUCACUGGCUGUGAGACUGAUGUGGAGAUUCCAGUAGUCCAGUCCAGUGCCAUGAUGGGAUGGCUCCUCUCUGCUGGUCUUAAUUGAAGUCCUGGCCCACCACGAAACCACACAAGAAAGGGUUUUCAGUGGCCAGUACAAUACUACACUGUCACAGAGAACUAUGGGUGGAGGAGAGAAACUGCGGCAUCCACACACACACACACACACACAAAUCCCAUCUGCUGGAUAAUCACAUUCUCAUACACACACACUCAUGAAGUUACCGGUUCUGCCUUUCACCAGACAACUGCUGACUGUCGUCUUAGUCACCACUCACCAACUUUUCAUUGUCUGAAACAUUCCCCAGGCCAUAAAAACAUCUGGCGUAAUGGCACGCUCUAUAAAUGAGGCUUUGAGUAAUGUGAGGGUAGGAUUUUAUUUAAGUGUGUAAUAUCUCAGAAUAGAACGUAACCUCACUGAUUGGUUGGGAAAGGAAUGUUGUGAGUGGUGUGCUGUGUUCAGUGGUGACUAGUUUUUCAGACCAUCUUGACUCACUGUCAGAAUUCCCACAUUGUGUCACAGACAGAAUCUACAGUUUCUCAAGUGUGUGGAUCACUUUGUGGCCCAUAGGUGGGGCUCGAGUGCUAUUCCAAUGCAGUUGAAGAACACCAGCCUCAGAACAGUGAGUUACAUGAGCAAGUGGAAAACCUAGUGGUUAUGCUCUGAGAUUGGUGUGUGGGUAGUGAAAAGUCAAUCGCUGCUGUCUACUCUGAUGUUUGAAAGAGGGAGCUAACAUGAAGAGAGGCUAGCAGUGUUUAGCUAUGUUUCUAGACACUAUCUGUCAUGGGGAAUUGAACAAAUACGCAGCCUGUGCUCAGCGGAGUUGACAACCCCCUUAGCAUAUUUUAAAUAUCUUGUGGAAGCAGAGCUCUGUAUUUUUGUGUGCUCUGAGGCUGGUCGAGCAUGCAGUCUACUGGCUGAGUCACACGUUCUGUGGUUUUUCACUCGUCCAAAUUCAAACUCAUUUUACAGAUGAUUUAUUCUUGUUUUAUUUUCUUUCUUUUUUUAUUUUUUUCAAAGAAUGUCCUAACCGCAAUCCAACAUGUUCUUCAAAUUUCCCCCGCGUUGUAAAUUUUGAGACUGGUUCCUGGUUAGCUUUCAUGAAUGUUGACAACAUUGUACGCAUUCCUGCACAGGCUUCAGCAACUAGAGACUUUUCUUAGUAUUGUUAUCCUUACAAUUUCCUCCUUGGCAAAACUCCAUCCACCUCACUAUUUAAAACCAUCUGAUGGAGUGGGCGUCUGUGUUCCUUUUUUUAAUCAGGCGUAACAGCAGACACCUGCAUUUGCACAGCCAAAUGCUACUGAUGAAAAUAGCAGGCGCCCAUCCGCAAAACCCCACCACUGCCCUCCAUUUAGACGAGGCGAGGGGGAUUUCCAGCAUCCGUCCCUCUCUCUCUCUCCACCCCCCUCCUCGCACUUCCUAAUGCUGCAGUCAAAACAGAGCUCUACUUUUUCUCAAUUCUACACGAGAAACUCCAAGUUCCUCUACACCAGCAAAAAAAAUAAUAAAGAAGGCAAACCGAAGUAACCCAAGACCGUGCCUGAGGGAGAUUCAGGCUGUGUGUAGGAGAGCAUGAGCAGACAUGCAAUGUGAGCACCUUUAAGAUAAGAAACUGACACCUUGAUAUUUACAGCUCACCUUUUCGGUUAUAUUUGCAUGUUCGACUUGUACCAAUUUUAAAAGACCAAUUUUAUAACAGACUUUUAGGUUAGAUUUCAAUGCCAAGUAUGUGUGCAGUUGGCCAGUGCAACGUUGGCCAGUGCAACCAAACCCCACCACAUGUACUUUAUAGUCUUUUUCUUUCAUUUAAGGCCCUGUAAUCUCAUGGAGUUUAACCUGCAUGUGUCAUGCCACAUAUAAGAGUCUAACACUGACAUGAGCAUCUUGAGUGGAAUGCAAUUUGGGGGUUUCCUCCCUCUUUCAUCUCCCUUAAUGAGUAUCCAACUGGCUGCAUGAUCACAGAUAUUAGUGAGGGGUUGGAGGCAGGGUGGGAGUGGGGGUGGGGGGGUUCUUUGUAGAUGUCUUUCACACAGCAGUUUCGCGUUUGCCGUCUGCUUUUGUACCAGAAAAGAGAGCAUCUCUCUCUCUCUCCCUCUCUCUGUCUGUCUGUCUCUCUCUCUCUCUCUCUCUCUCUCUCUAUCUCUCUCUCUCGCUCUCUCUUUCUCUCUUUCUGCCUCUCACUGGUUCACUCACAGAGCCGUGGAAAGUCCCUGGCAGGACACCACCUCUCUGUUUUGCGAAUGUAACCAGACUGACUUCGCUAUCGCUCCACGUAUAGUGAGCUGCACAGACACCGCACGCACAUCAGCAAGAAGACAAGGAAAUGGUACACUGUGAGGCCUACACCGUCUCCAUUCAUUUGUCUCUUGCACUCAUCAGUGAAUGCAAAAACAGCAUUGCUACACUUAAACUCCCAGAAUAUUUCAGAUCUGAUUCUUUUUUUUUUUCCAUUUCCUUUUUCUCUCUAUUCUCAGUGACAUGUCACAUCUCUCCAGCUUACUCAUACAAGGAAGUGAUUUGGAUCUUGCACAAAUAAAGCCUUGUAUCUUUGAUGCUAUGUACUCUGGGUGUUUGUGGCCUCUAUCGGAAUUGUUAUCAUUCUCUGCAGGAGGAAGUAAAGUCCCCUUCAUUGUCCUGUUCAUCUCAUGAAGUGGCCUGGUCAGGAAGGACUACUUCCUAGUAAAGGAUCGUGAGUGUUAUUUCUGUCUCCAAAGAGGAAAUGCUAAAGAUAAAAGAGAACCAACAUCCAGGAAGGAAGGAAAAUCCCUGCGUUUGUGGACGCCAGAACAAAUCCCCACGCACCAUGUGACGGCCCACUGUAGAUAAUUAUAGCCAUGGCCAUUCAAAUGAAGCACAUCCAGUGUAUGCAAAUACCAAGGUAUUUCAUAUAUGGUGUUUAGGGCUUUCGUGCCGAGCACUGACUUGGGCUGAAGCCAAACUGCACAUCUGUUUAAAGACGGACACUCUUUUGCUCAACUAAUAACUUGUAUAGGGGGCGAUGAAAGUGAAAUGCGUUAUGCCCCUGAUAUAUAGUUUCAUUCAGAUAAAUCCUCCUAAUUACAUUCUAAAUCUGUAAUUCUUUGCGUAUUACACUGAACCUGGACAUCACAGAGCAACUAUCAGUGAGCCAGUAUAUCUUUUUGGAAAGUACAUCAUAUGUCCUCGUAAUGCUCAAUGAACUCUGCUUCUUCUCCUGCCCGGUUAUGCAGUUUAAUUUAAUAGUGUAGGCUACGUGCAGCUGUGAGUCUGUCUGGAAGGAAGACGAAUUCAGGCACAGUAGAGCCACGUCUCCGACUCCCAAACUGUACUUUGACUUCGUAAAAGCACACAGAAGCAGCGUGAGGAAUUCCCCUGAAAGUUCAAGUGAUUGCAGAUGUGCCUCUCUCUCGCUCUCUCUCUCCACCCCUCUACCAAAGCAAAGUUCAGCUCCAGGCUCUGGACAGUAGCGCUCGCGUCCGAGGGUUGGUCUGGGAAGGCGCUCAAGUGCAAACAAACCAUGUGAGCUGCGCUCUACCAAAUGGCUGGCCAGCUCAUGGUUAAGAACACUUGGCCUGCUGGCAGCCUGGGAGAGGCAUUGAGGAAUAAAGGGAGCGGCAAACAGGGGAAAGUUCAGGGGUUUUCAGAAAAGUGGAACCGAGAAAGUUUUUCAGGAAGUUGUGGAGACACUGACGGCGGAUGGCUGUGUGAUAUGCUUUAAGCCUCUUUGACACGUUUCUCUCGCUUGCAAAUAAUAAAAAAAAAAUUCCUCCUCCA